rnacentral:tRNA from 1 species
GGGCGGUUAGCUCAGUUGGUUAGAGCAUCGCGUUGACAUCGCGAAGGUCGUAGGUUCGAGCCCUAUACCGCCCA